ACUGCAUACUGUUAAGACCCCAGUGUAUUUAAUAGGUAUUUUAUAAGCAUAGCCCAUUGGCUCAUGUUAGUGAAACCAUAAUCCUCUUUGCUUAGAACAUUAAUUAAACUCCUAAGAAGUACUACAAACCCCACCACUCUUUAUAGAUGUAUUGUACCACUAAUAUAAACAGCUAAAAAAUGGGGAAAUUGUAACGUUACGCCUGUGCAAUUUUUAAGUGGCAUAUUAUGGCAGAUUAAAAUUUAGAUACUUGGCUUUUCUUGGGCAAGCCACUAAGUUGUGGCGGAAUGUUUUCUGGUGUUCUUGGACUGCAAUUAUGCACUAUUAAAGUAGUGGCCUGCUACAUAACUGCAUUUAGCCAGCAUUUCUGCAGUGCGUAACUGUGAGGAACGUAGUACCGCAAAUGGCAAUGGACAUUAGGACCCGGAUGUAGUAUUCCUGCUUGCUCCAAGAUUCUCAUUGCCGACUGCAUACAGGUAAGAAUGAUUGAUGUUGGCUGAUGUUGGAGUGCUCGUUCACAUGAAGUGGAUAGAUACUUCUCAAGACAUCACACAGCGUGAGUCAAUCAAGGAGGGAAGCCACAAGCAGACUGACAAUGUUUCUAGGAUCAGGUGAGCUGUGUCCAGAAAACCAACGAGAAGGAGUGGAAGGAGGAAUGAACGUUUCGUUCUCGUUAAUAAAGGCAUUAUCCUAAUUA
rnacentral:sRNA from 1 species